AUUUCUGAUUUGACGAGGGUGUUC
rnacentral:piRNA from 1 species